rnacentral:misc_RNA from 1 species
GAAAAUUUGCAAACUAGUGGAGCUUAUAGCGCUAGAGAAGAAAGUUUGAAGAGAGAGGAGGAAGCCGGAAGACUCAAGUUUCUAUGUCUUUCAAAUGAUGGCAUUGAUGAACAUAUGAUUUGGUUGAUAGGAUUGAAGAACAUAUUUGCUAGGCAAUUACCCAACAUGCCCAAGGAGUAUAUUAUCCAUCACAAGACGGACAAUAUACUCCUUG